AGGAGUUGCUGUACUAGUAGCCAGAGAGGUCUAUAAAUUGGAAGAAUCAUCAAUACUCAUCCGCAUCCUUUAGCUCUUCUUUCUUCCUAAUUAAGCAUAGAUAUAAAAUGGGUGCUUCAAAGAAGUUGCAGGUCAUGGCUAUGGUGGUUUUCAUAACAAUCAGUCUGCUUCUUCCAAACCAUGUCGCUUCAUCAACUGCACUUGCCACUGAUGCUAUCCCAAAAUCCAUUUUUGGAAGGAAGCUUCUUGUUGAUCCACCUACAUAUGGACGCUGGCCUGGAACAGGAGGAUAUCCAUGCUGCACAAGACCCUCACCUCCCUAGUGAGGCUGUUGCUUCACUCUUUACUUCCAUCAACUAUGAGUGCAUGUUUUAGAUCUAUAAUAUAUGAGAGAAAAAAGGGUUUAUCUGAAAAAUAAUUUUUUUUCAAAAAAAAAAAACAAACCCUUUAAUCUCUUUUACUAAUAAGAUUGUACACUUAAUUAUAACUUGGGUGUAUUCUAUUUGAUUAUUAUAUGUAUGUGUACUGAACUUGUCUUUUGGUAGUACCUAAAGAAAAUAAAAUGCAAUUCUAAUA